GAAGAGUUAGUUAAUUUAUAACAUUAGAGUGUCAACCUAAAAUAAUUAUUUUAUAAUACUCUUCU
rnacentral:tRNA from 1 species